rnacentral:rRNA from 1 species
UACGGAGGGUGCAAGCGUUACCCGGAUUCACUGGGUUUAAAGGGUGCGUAGGCGGGUUGGUAAGUCCGUGGUGAAAUCCCCAAGCUUAACUUGGGAACUGCCGUGGAUACUAUCAAUCUUGAAUAUCGUGGAGGUAAGCGGAAUAUGUCAUGUAGCGGUGAAAUGCUUAGAUAUGACAUAGAACACCAAUUGCGUAGGCAGCUUACUACACGAUCAUUGACGCUGAGGCACGAAAGCGUGGGGAGCAAACAGG